rnacentral:lncRNA from 1 species
CUCUCCAGCCCAAGCGCAACUCUGAACCUGACCCUGACCUCCGACCCCAGAACACUUGGAGGCCCCUGGAGCCUCUUCCUGGGCUGUUCAGAGGCAUGAUCUAGACUCAGACCUACCUGGUUCCUGCACCGCGAUCACCUAGUUCCGGGGAUGUGGGUCUAUCACUGUCCCUGGCCGAGCCUCAGCUUCAUCUGUAAGAAAGGGGAGGGGUGGACGACGGCUGUGCGGGCGGGGUGAGCCUGGGGCGUGGCACCAGCCCUCUAUCCAAACAUGUUUGCUUACACUUACAGGUUAGCACCCCUAGCUCCUGGGAGGAGACAGGAGGCUGAAAACAACUUGGAGACCGGUGUGCACCGCACCGCAUAGUCUGCCAUCCUCUUCAGGUCUCAUACCUCUCUUGAUCUCCCCAACUACUAGAUGAAGCGGGUACUGCCAUCCCACUUUCCAGCAGGGCACAAGCUUCUCCAAGAAACAGGGUCUCACUGUGUUGCCCAGGCUGGCUUGAACUGGGUUUCAGCAAUCCUCCCACCUCAGCCUCCGAAAAUGCUGGGAUUACAAGCAUGAGUCACCACGCCUGGCCUGAAAACAUCUUCUCUAACACAAAGAUUUGUAUGUGAACGUUCUGUGAGGUAAAGUAGCACACCUAGGAAGCCAUGCAUGCUCGUUUCUGUUUGCAGCACAAUUUCACAAAGCCCCACCUCUGUGACCACCUGCAGCUCUCCAGAAAGAUGCUUUGAAGACAAAACGUGACGAGCACAGUCUCCAUCCCCACACCUCUGGCUUGAGUUGCUACAUUCUCUAAAAGAUCCAUGACCCUAGCCUUGCCUUUUCCUCCUCAUAACAUCUUAGUGAUGAUGUUAGUGAUGAUGCCUCUGUAAUCUAUAACCAGAUGUAUUCUUACC